rnacentral:rRNA from 1 species
CAGCAGUGGGGAAUCUUGGACAAUGGGGGCAACCCUGAUCCAGCCAUGCCGCGUGAGUGAUGAAGGCCUUAGGGUCGUAAAGCUCUUCGCCUGUGAUGAUAAUGACAGUAGCAGGUAAGAAACCCCGGCUAACUCCGUGCCAGCAGCCGCGGUAAUACGGAGGGGGUUAGCGUUGUUCGGAAUUACUGGGCGUAAAGCGCGCGUAGGCGGAUUAGUCAGUUAGAGGUGAAAUCCCAGGGCUCAACCCUGGAACUGCCUUUAAUACUGCUAGUCUUGAGUUCGAGAGAGGUGAGUGGAAUUCCGAGUGUAGAGGUGAAAAUUCGUAGAUAUUCGGAGGAACACCAGUGGCGAAGGCGGCUCACUGGCUCGAUACUGACGCUGAGGUGCGAAAGUGUGGGGAGCAAACAGGAUUAGAUACCCUGGUAG